CUUUACACCUGGCCCCGCCCCUUUCAGUCACUUCCUGAUUCAGCUCCUUAUCCUUUACACCUGGCCCCGCCCCUUUCAGUCACUUCCUGAUUCAACGCCUUAUUCUUUACACCUGGCCACGCCCCUUUCAGCCACUUCCUGAUUCAGCUCCUUAUCCUUUACACCUGGCCCCGCUCCCAAUCGCCUUGAUAAGACCCCCAUCACCACCCACUCUCUCAGAAAGCAACGUUUCUCUGACCUUCAAGAACACGAGCCCGUGGGGAGCAUUUCACCUCAAACACUGUGUUGCGGGGUCACUCUGUGGGCAAGAAGCUCCUUCUCUGUUGUGUCACUUUGGUGUUAUCUAUACUUUGGUCUGUCCUGGGAGCCCUAUCUAAAAUAGACAUGUGUCUUGAGUCUCCCCAAGAAAAGUUUUUCACACAACACAAUUGGCAACCGAAGAUGAAUUUGGGGAGCUUCAAACUCCAUUUAAUCCUAGGAAGAAACUGAAUUCAAGGUCUGAGGCCCUAGGGGAGCUGAGGACUUCCCAGUAGCUGAGCGGCUUCUGUUGUAAACAGCCAUCUGAGUCCAGUCAUCUCAAGGACAACCUCUGUUUUGCUGGCGUGGUGAAACAAGUUCAUGUUCCCAGGGCCUAGGAAUGAACUCCUAUCUUGCUCCUCCAAACACUUCCUUAAUUGUCUGUUAACGGCCAAGCCGCAACAAUGACUCUCAAAGAACAGCUGCAAAGAAGACGCAGGCCAGACGACCAGCUGCCUAGAAGAAACAGAAACCAGCUGAGCUGCCUGGAAGAGGUUUAGACCAACCAAGACACCUGGAAAGGACAGUCUACAACCUGUCGAGCUGCCUGCAGGCUGUGCAGUGUGCUCCAGGUUCCCAGCUCUGUGAGAUGAUCCAGGCCAGGGUGGGCUUUGGUGAGGCAGCUGUCUUUGAGUCGUUUCUGCUCUAAGUAACCUCUCACCUACAUUCCUAUAAGUACCCCCAAUAAAGGUCUUCGGUUCACCAAA